AGUGAACGCUGGCGGUAGGCCUAACACAUGCAAGCCGAACGGCAGCACAGUAAGAGCUUGCUCUUACGGGUGGCGAGUGGCGGACGGGUGAGGAAUACAUCGGAAUCUACUUUUUCGUGGGGGAUAACGUAGGGAAACUUACGCUAAUACCGCAUACGACCUACGGGUGAAAGCAGGGGAUCUUCGGACCUUGCGCGAUUGAAUGAGCCGAUGUCGGAUUAGCUAGUUGGCGGGGUAAAGGCCCACCAAGGCGACGAUCCGUAGCUGGUCUGAGAGGAUGAUCAGCCACACUGGAACUGAGACACGGUCCAGACUCCUACGGGAGGCAGCAGUGGGGAAUAUUGGACAAUGGGCGAAAGCCUGAUCCAGCCAUGCCGCGUGGGUGAAGAAGGCCUUCGGGUUGUAAAGCCCUUUUGUUGGGAAAGAAAAGCAGCAGGUUAAUACCCCGCUGUUCUGACGGUACCCAAAGAAUAAGCACCGGCUAACUUCGUG
rnacentral:rRNA from 1 species